CACAAGCAAUCUGAUCUCAUCUGAAAGAAGAGAAGCAGAUGUCUGACAACAGGCUUUAUCUGAAGAGGUGAGGAGUCGCUUACAAAGGGAGGAUUGUGCUAUGUCUUCGGAGGUGUGUGGUUUAGCACCCCACUUCAUCUUCUCGUGGAGUACCUGUGCUUUUCCUUUGUCUGCUGCAGGUUUACUUUCACUGUAGUGCAUCAGCCUGUGUCUCAGCUACUAUGAAUCC